rnacentral:rRNA from 1 species
CCGCGGUAUUCCAGCUCCAAUAGCGUAUAUUAAAGUUGCUGCAGUUAAAAAGCUCGUAGUUGGAUCUGGGGACAAAUACGGAUGGUUCGCUUUCGGGCGUGACUGUCUGUGUGUUCCUACACUGUCGUGGUUGCCUUUGGUGUUCUUCACUGAAUGCUAUUGGUGCCCGACCUGAUUACUUUGAAAAAAUUAGAGUGCUUAAAGCAGGCCUUGUGCUUGUAUAUUGUUGCAUGGAAUAAUGGAAUAGGACUUCGGUUCUAUUUUGUUGGUUUUCGGAAUUGAAGUAAUGAUUAACAGAGACUGCCGGGGGCAUAAGUAUACUGGGGCUAGAGGUGAAAUUCUUGGACCCUCAGUAGACUACCUAUUGCGAAAGCAUUUGCCAAGAAUGUUUUCACUAAUCAAGAACGAAAGUCAGAGGUUCGAAGACGAUCAGAUACCGUCCUAGUUCCGACCAUAAAUGAUAUCAACUAAUUAUUGGCAAAGGCGCUUGUUCGCCCGAGCCAGCAGCCUCCGGGAAACCAAAGUUUUUGGAUCCCGGGGGUAGUAUGGUUGCAAGACUGAAACUUAAAGGAAUUGACGGAAGGGCACCACCAGGAGUGGAGCCUGCGGCUUAAUUUGACUCAACACGGGGAACCUCACCCGGCCCGGACACUCGAAGGAUUGACAGAUUAAUUGCUCUUUCUUAAUUUAGUGGUUGGUGGUGCAUGGCCGUUCUUAGUUGGUGGAGUGAUUUGUCUGGUUGAUUCCGAUAACGAGCGAGACUCACGCCUACUAAAUAGCAGGCUAAUGUCGGUCUCUUGAGACACACCAAUUAGGCAUGUUGCUUCUUAGAGGGAUUUAUGUCUUCCAGACAUAUGAACAGUGAGCAAUAACAGGUCUGUGAUGCCCUUAGAUGUCCGGGGCCGCACGCGCGCUACACUGAAAGCUUCAACGAGUUGUCCUGG